CAGCAAGUCACUGAGUGGCGUGCAGUGCACCCAGCAAUAAAAAGUGAACACACUGCCACACCGCGUCAGUGUGAACAAAUACCGUCAGAACCUGACAGUAAGCAACAAUGCCGUCCGAUUUGGCCAAGAAGAAGGCAGUGAAGAAGAAGGAGGCUGCGAAAGCUCGCCAGCGCACCAAGAAACCAGACGAGAUGAGCGAGGAGAGUGAACAAACGGAAAACCAGGAGAACGGAGCAGAGACUAAUGGGGUGGCUGGCCUGGCUCAGGAGCUGGAUGAGUUUGAGCUGAGGAAGACAGAGGCACGUGCGGUGACGGGGGUGCUGGCAUCUCACCCCAACAGCACUGAUGUCCACAUCAGCAGCCUUUCACUCACCUUCCACGGGCAGGAGUUGCUUAGCGACACCAGCCUGGAGCUCAACUCUGGACGACGCUAUGGCCUCAUUGGACUCAACGGCACAGGGAAGUCCAUGCUGUUGUCGGCCAUUGGUCACAGAGAGAUCCCCAUCCCUGAGCACAUAGACAUCUACCACCUGACCCGGGAAAUGGCGCCCAGCGACAAGACGGCCCUUCAGUGUGUAAUGGAGGUGGACCAGGAGAGGAUCAUGCUGGAGAAGGAGGCAGAGAGACUGGCACAUGAAGACUCCGAGUGUGAGAAGCUGAUGGAUCUGUAUGAGCGUCUGGAGGAGCUGGAUGCAGACAAGGCGGAGGUGCGGGCCUCCAGGAUCCUCCACGGCCUGGGCUUCAGCGCCUCCAUGCAGCACAAGAAGCUCCAGGACUUCAGUGGAGGCUGGAGGAUGAGGGUGGCUCUGGCCAGGGCCCUGUUCAUCAAGCCCUUCAUGUUGCUGCUGGACGAGCCCACCAAUCACCUGGACCUGGACGCCUGUGUAUGGCUGGAGGAGGAGCUCAAGGCGUUCAAGCGAAUCCUUGUGCUCAUCUCUCACUCUCAAGACUUCCUGAACGGUGUGUGCACCAACAUAAUCCACCUGCAACAGAGGAAGCUCAAAAACUACACAGGUAAUUACGACCAGUACAUAAAGACCAGGGAGGAGCUAGAGGAGAACCAGAUGAAGCGUUUCAACUGGGAACAGGACCAGAUAUCACACAUGAAGAACUACAUCGCCAGGUUUGGUCAUGGCUCUGCUAAGUUGGCCAGACAGGCGCAGAGCAAAGAGAAGACGCUGCAGAAGAUGGUGGCCUCAGGCCUGACUGAACGAGUAGUGAAUGACAAGACUCUGUCAUUGUAUUUUCCACCCUGUGGGAAGAUUCCUCCUCCGGUUAUCAUGGUUCAGAACGUCAGCUUCCAGUACAGCGACAACACCCCUCACAUCUACAAGAAUCUGGAGUUUGGUAUCGAUCUGGACACACGAGUGGCCCUGGUGGGGCCCAAUGGGGCGGGGAAGUCCACACUGCUCAAACUGCUUAUAGGGGAGCUCCUUCCCACUGAUGGCAUGAUCAGGAAACACUCUCACGUGAAGAUUGGGAGGUAUCACCAGACCCUGUCAGUAACCUCAGGAGCCCUCUGGCCUGCAGCACCUCACAGAGCAGCUGGACCUGGACCUGUCUCCUCUGGAGUACAUGAUGAAGUGCUACCCCGAGAUCAAGGAGAAGGACGAGAUGAGGAAGAUCAUCGGCCGCUACGGCUUGACUGGAAAACAACAGGUGAGCCCUAUCAGGAAUCUGUCGGACGGUCAGAAGUGUCGUGUGUGCUUUGCCUGGCUGGCCUGGCAGAACCCCCACAUGCUGUUCCUGGAUGAGCCUACCAAUCACCUAGACCUCGAGACUAUCGAUGCCCUGGCGGACGCCAUCAACGAGUUUGAGGGCGGCAUGAUGCUGGUCAGCCACGACUUCAGACUCAUCCAGCAGGUGGCACAAGAGAUCUGGGUGUGUGAGAAGCAGACCAUCACCAAGUGGAACAUGGACAUUCUGGCUUAUAAAGAGCACUUGAAAUCCAAGAUUGAUAAGCAAACACAUAAUAUCUAGAACCUCUGACCUUCCAUUUGUGACACUUUGCCUCAAACAACAUGGAUAUGUCAGAGAUCUUGCUUUGUGAAACAUCUGACAGUACUCAGCUGUAGUGACCCACAUACCAGGCUGCACUCUGAUGUAGCAUCUCAAUGCUACUCUGAUACUGGCAUCAGAAAAAUGUAUUUUGUAUUUCUCAAAAACAAGUUACAUUUUAUAAAAUAAAAGCUUUCAGAAUUGUAUAAUAUUUAAAAGUAAUGUACUUGAAAUAAUGGUUUGUCUGAAUAAAUAUAUUUGCAAUGGGGUAUUUACAGUUGUUUUGAU